AGGGGCAUAGUUCAACGGUAGAACAGCGGUCUCCAAAACCGUCGAUGUGGGUUCGAUUCCUACUGCCCCUG
rnacentral:tRNA from 4 species